GAAAGUAAAUAAGGGCGCAUGGCGGAUGCCUUGGCUCUCGGAGGCGAUGAAGGACGUGAUAAGCUGCGAUAAGCUUCGGGUAGGUGCAAAUGACCUUUGAUCCGAAGAUUUCCGAAUGGGACAACCCGGCAUUCUGAAGGAAUGUCAUCCAACUUGGUUGGAGGCUAACGCAGGGAACUGAAACAUCUUAGUACCUGCAGGAAAAGAAAAUAAAUAAUGAUUCCCCUAGUAGUGGCGAGCGAACGGGGAUUAGCCCAAACCACCCAUGUUACGGCAUGUGUGGGGUUGUAGGACCACGCUCUCGCAAGACAGUUAUUGAGAAGAAACGACUGGAAAGUCGUGCCAUAGACGGUGAUAGCCCGGUAUUCUAAGGUAACCGAAGCGUAGUGGUAUCCUGAGUAGCGCGGAGCACGAGGAAUUCUGCGUGAAUCAGCCGGGACCAUCCGGUAAGGCUAAAUACUCCCGAGAGACCGAUAGCGAACCAGUACUGUGAAGGAAAGGUGAAAAGCACUUCGAAUAGAAGAGUGAAAUAGUCCCUGAAACCAUGCGCCUACAAGCGGUCGGAGCAGCUUCAGCUGUGACGGCGUGCCUUUUGCAUAAUGAACCUACGAGUUACUUUUUCCGGCAAGGUUAAGCAUCUUGAGAUGUGGAUCCGAAGCGAAAGCGAGUCUGAACAGGGCGGAUAGUCGGAAGGAGUAGACGCGAAACCAAGUGAUCUACCCUUGGGCAGGUUGAAGGUUAGGUAACACUAACUGGAGGACCGAACCGAUAAGCGUUGAAAAGCUUCCGGAUGACCUGAGGGUGGGGGUGAAAGGCUAAUCAAACUUGGAGAUAGCUCGUACUCCCCGAAAUGCAUUUAGGUGCAGCCUUGAGAGUUACUAAUGUGAGGUAGAGCGACUGAUAAGAUGCGAGGGCUUCACCGCCUAUCAAGUCUUGAUAAACUCCGAAUGCGCAUUAGUUCUAUCUCAGGAGUGAGGGCAUGGGUGCUAAGGUCCAUGUCCUAAAGGAGAAGAAUCCAGACCAUCAGCUAAGGUCCCCAAAUAAACACUAAGUUGAACUAACGAAGUCAGAUUGCUAAGACAGCUAGGAUGUUGGCUUGGAAGCAGCCAUUCAUUUAAAGAGUGCGUAACAGCUCACUAGUCGAGGAGUUUGGCGUGGAUAAUAAUCGGGCAUAAGUGUUUUACCGAAGCUAUGGGAUCCUAACGGAUCGGUAGGGGAGCAUUCCACUCAGCGUUGAAGGCGAAGCGUGAGCUUUACUGGAGCGUGUGGAAAAGCAAAUGUAGGUAUAAGUAACGAUAAAGGGGGUGAGAAACCCCCUCGCCGCAAGACUAAGGUUUCCUGAUCAACGCUAAUCGGAUCAGGGUUAGUCGGGUCCUAAGGCUCAGCCGAACGGUGAGGCCGAUGGCAGAACAGGUUAAUAUUCCUGUACUACCUGUAAGAGUGAUGUGGAGACGGAGGAGUGACAACGCCGCGGACUGACGGAAUAGUCCGUUAAAGGGUGUAGAUGUUGAUUAUCCCAGGCAAAUCCGGGAUAAGAGUCGAACCUGACAGUAUACCAAUUUCCCCGGAAAACGGUAAUAGUGCGUGUAAACAUACUCCCAAGAAAAUCCGCUAAACUUAAUCUUACAGGUACCCGUACCGUAAACGGACACACGUAGUCGGGUUGAAUAUACUCAGGCGCUUGAGUGAAUCACGGUUAAGGAACUAGGCAAAUUGACCCUGUAACUUCGGGAUAAAGGGUCCCUACCCGGUGACGGGAGGGCGCAGAGAAUAGGUCCAGGCAACUGUUUAACAAAAACACAGGGCUGUGCAAAAUUGAAAGAUCACGUAUACAGCCUGACACCUGCCCGGUGCUGGAAGGUUAAGAGGAGAUGUCAUCGCAAGAGAAGCAUUGAAUUGAAGCCCCAGUAAACGGCGGCCGUAACUAUAACGGUCCUAAGGUAGCGAAAUUCCUUGUCGGGUAAGUUCCGACCUGCACGAAUGGUGUAAUGAUCUGGACACUGUCUCAACCGUGAGCUCAGUGAAAUUGUAGUAUCGGUGAAGAUGCCGAUUACCCGCGAUGGGACGAAAAGACCCCGUGAACCUUUACUAUAGCUUAACAUUGAAUUUGGGUAAUUGAUGUGUAGGAUAGGCC
rnacentral:rRNA from 1 species